GGACCGACGCACAGAAGGGAGGUACAGGGGCUGGGACCUGCUCGAGUGGAACGGGGUCCUCAGCCCUGGACAGAGGCAGUGACCGACUAGAUGCCACCCUCCGGCAUCCCUGUCAUGGUUCCACCAGGGCUGAGACCUCCGGCAUCAUUCCGGCUUGCCCCAUACCUCUCCCUGAUGUAUUUUUUCUCUCGUCUGAUUUCUAUUCCUUUCACUGUACUGGAUCCUGAUGCAAGGAACGAGAGCCCCACAAAGCAAGAUCCUCAAUCUGGAGUCGCAGCCCCACUCAGCAUACCUGGUGCACACUUUGGCUGUCUGAAGCCCUCACGGACCCCGUGGAACACAGGCUAACAAAGUGCUGUGGAGGCCUUAGGCUGCAGGGGCAGAUCUGACGGCUUAGGUUGCUUCUGCUCGCCAGGGCCCAUUAGACAGAGACCAGGAGAAAGGGGUGAGAAGGGCUGCAGCACGGAGCAGAUGUUAGCGCAGGCGGAAGGAGGUGCUGGGCUGGGUCCUGUCUCCGUUUCCCACUACCACCUAUCUCAGGGACAGGCGUUCUCAGAAAUGAGUGUGAGGAUGACUUAGGCUGGAGGACAGCAGAGACCAAGACUCCCGAGCCCUGUUGCUGCAGAUCGCUCGUAAGGGAAACCAACCUGGCCAACUUAGAGCCCAUGGUAGAGACUGGAGGCUGAGGAGAAUCUCUGACCCGGAACUCUGGGCAUGACUCAUCAGUGUGAUCUAAAGAUGGGACCGGCACAGCUUAUGACCCUGAUGCCACUCCUGGUUUCUGGUGAAGAGUCUUGGUUCGUGGGGAGCAAAGGUGGCUCCUUCAAUGGGUAACAGAAGAGAUGAGUGCUGCUUUUCAAAGACAUAGACAACUGCCCAUCACUCAAAUGGGGACCAGUAUGCCGUGUGAGAGGAGAUGUGAGCGGCCAAGGCUCUGGAGCCAGGGCCGCUGCGUCUGAGGUCCUCCCCGCCCAGGCCCCAGCUCGGGUCUACUCUCCUGAUUCGGCUUCCUGCGAACACCUGCUCCGCGAAGGCGAAGGCGCCGGGACACCCAGACCAGACGGUAAUUCACUGCCGCCCCCUGCAGCCGGUUCACACACCCCAAAGACAGGGACCUGCAGAUGAGAAGAAAUCACAAUUCACCCGAGCCAGCAUCUCACAGCUCAGUCUUUUCGUUGCAGUUUGGGAUCCUAGAGGGGGAAUAAGAUAAGAAACAUUCUAAAUGAGUUUAGAAUCAUUUCAUCUGGAGUUGUUCCUUCUAGUUCCCAGCCUCCACACCCAUCCAGUCAGAUGUCAACCUUCUUUUCCUAAAAUUUUCAAGAACAGCAAUCCACCUCCCUUUUCAUUGUCCUGCUGUGAUCUAAUAUUUAAUUCCUAUUCUAAAUUUCCAUUUCAUUCCUCUUUCUGCCCACUGCAACCCCCACCGGAGUUAGAAGAAGAUGGGUUAUGAAGUAAAUUCUCUGCUUUUCAUAGCAGCACUGGACAUUAUUCCUUAGAUUUAAAUCACUCUGUUAUCUUUCUAAAGUAAAAACAGCUGCAGCAAUCAAGACACUCAAAUACCUAGGAGUAAUUUUAACAAGAAACACAUAAAUUGUACAUGAUAAAAAAUGUAAAAUGCUAUUAAUGGGACGUCAAGGACUAAAAUUUAUGGGAUGUUUCCACAUCAUAAAUACAACAAUUCAGGCUGGGGAUGUAGCUCAGUGGGGCUGCUGCCUGCCUCGCAAGCUCAAGGUCCCGAGUUCUAUCCCCAUACCAACAAAUAAUAAACCAACAAGCAACUCUCCUUUAAAUAAUCUAAAAAAUAUAUGAUUUCGAUCAAAAUAACACUAAUCGAAUAGGAAAAUGAAUUGAGGUAUAGCUUCACAAUAAAGAGUAAUAAAACUGAACACAUGAAAAUGAUACACAAUAUGGUUGAUCUCAAAAUAAUUUGAGCAAAAGAAAUGAAACACAAAAGAAUACACACUCUCUGAUUCUCUCUGCUAUGCAUGUAUCCGGGAGAACUAGUUUGUAGGGUGAGGAGUCAGAACAGGACAGGAGUAACUGGGAGGUUCACAAGAGCAGCUGGAGCGUGGGCGGGAUUCUGUUUUGUUUUGUUUUUUAAUCUGGUGUUGGUUACACAAAUGUAUUCCACUUUUGAAAAUUCAUAAAGAUGUACACUUUUUAAUCCAUGUAUUUUUCUGGAUAUACAUUGUACAUUAAUUUGUCGAAUUGUGCUAAAAACACAUGUGCAGGGCCGGGGAUUUAGCUCAGUGGCAAUUUAGCCUGCUUGGCAAGUGCAAGUUCUUGAGUUUGAUCCCCAGUACCGAUAAAAGACACAUGUGCAAUUUUGAGAAAUAAUAUGGCGUUGAAUAGACAGAUAAAUGGCACGCAACAGAAAAUUGAGAAAGAGACUCAACAAUCUGACAUUAUAAAGGUAGCAAAAAUUUGGAUAUUAUAAAGGUAGAAUUAAAAAUGGAGAAAAUAAGUAUCAUUCAAUUAAAACAGUAGCAUAAAACAAAGCUGGACUUGUCACACCAAUAAAUUCCAAAUAAGUCAAGUAUUUAAAAAUACAAAAACAUGCUACAACGAUAGAUUAUGUAAAGGUACAAAUUUCCAAUGAUGAAUGUCAUUAUACUGCAUACCUAAAAUGUACCAAUAAAAUAAAAAAGGCGCUCCAAACCA
rnacentral:lncRNA from 1 species